ACAGACUAUAGCAUAGUGUAAACAUAACAUUUUUGUGCACUGGGGAACCAAAAAAUUCAUUUGAAUUGCCUCAUU